rnacentral:rRNA from 1 species
UAGUGGCGCAGCUAACGCGAUAAGUCGACCGCCUGGGGAGUACGGCCGCAAGGUUAAAACUCAAAUGAAUUGACGGGGGCCCGCACAAGCGGUGGAGCAUGUGGUUUAAUUGGAAGCAACGCGAAGACCCUUACCUGUCCUUGACAUGCUGAGAACUUUCCAGAGAUGGAUUGGUGCCUUCGGGAACUCAGACACAGGUGCUGCAUGGCUGUUGUCAGCUCGUGUCGUGAGAUGUUGGGUUAAGUCCCGUAACGAGCGCAACCCUUGUCCUUAGUUACCAGCACCUCGGGUGGGCACUCUAAGGAGACUGCCGGUGACAAACCGGAGGAAGGUGGGGAUGACGUCAAGUCAUCAUGGCCCUUACGGCCAGGGCUACACACGUGCUACAAUGGUCGGUACAAAGGGUUGCCAAGCCGCGAGGUGGAGCUAAUCCCAUAAAACCGAUCGUAGUCCGGAUCGCAGUCUGCAACUCGACUGCGUGAAGUCGGAAUCGCUAGUAAUCGUGAAUCAGAAUGUCACGGUGAAUACGUUCCCGGGCCUUGUACACACCGCCCGUCACACCAUGGGAGUGGG